rnacentral:rRNA from 1 species
AGAGUUUGAUCCUGGCUCAGAAUGAACGCUGGCGGCGCGCCUAAUACAUGCAAGUCGAGCGAGAAGACGUAGCAAUACGUUUGUAAAGCGGCGAACGGGUGAGGAAUACAUGGGUAACCUACCCUUGAGUGGGGAAUAACUAGCCGAAAGGUUAGCUAAUACCGCGUACGCUCCUUGGACUUCGGUUCAGGGAGGAAAGCGCUACCGUGGGUAGCGCGCUCUUGGAUGGGCUCAUGUCCUAUCAGCUUGUUGGUGAGGUAACGGCUCACCAAGGCUUCGACGGGUAGCUGGUCUGAGAGGACGAUCAGCCACACUGGCACUGCGACACGGCCCAGACUCCUACGGGAGGCAGCAGUGGGGAAUUUUGGACAAUGGGCGCAAGCCUGAUCCAGCAAUGCCGCGUGAGUGAAGAAGGCCUUCGGGUUGUAAAGCUCUUUCAGUUGAGAAGAAAAGAUUGUGACUAAUAAUUGCAAUUCAUGACGGUAUCAACAGAAGAAGCACCGGCUAACUACGUGCCAGCAGCCGCGGUAAUACGUAGGGUGCGAGCGUUAAUCGGAAUUACUGGGCGUAAAGGGUGCGCAGGCGGUUCUGUAAGUCAGAUGUGAAAUCCCCGGGCUUAACCUGGGAACUGCGUUUGAAACUACAGAGCUAGAGUGUGGCAGAGGGGGGUGGAAUUCCAUGUGUAGCAGUGAAAUGCGUAGAGAUAUGGAAGAACAUCGAUGGCGAAGGCAGCCCCCUGGGUCAACACUGACGCUCAUGCACGAAAGCGUGGGGAGCAAACAGGAUUAGAUACCCUGGUAGUCC